GCGAGCCCAGAGGCCCAGUGGAUCUGAAGGCUGUGGGUGGCGUGGGGAGUCGCUGACUUCCGGCCGAGGAGCUCUGCCAGUCAUCUCCCCGGGAUGGACAGAGCGGGCGGUAGCCGCCAAGGAUGCUGCCAGGGAGCUUGAGAGGAAAGGGCUGACCUCGCCUGAGGGCUCCCCUUCUCCUCCUGGAGAACUAGAAGGUGCCCCACCUGACUCUGCCCGGAAAGAUGUAGGACCCCCAGUGAAUCCAGGUGGAGAGGACAUGAUGAUGGGAAAGGUGUGGCUUUAAGAAGCUGAGAAAGUUUCCCAGCUGGCAUCCAGCAAGGAACUGAACUCUGCCAGCAACCUAAAUGAUCCUGGAAGUGAACCGCCCCCAGGGUCUACAUAGAGCCUAGAUCAACAGACACCUUGACUUUGGCCUUGAGGCCCUCGGACGAGCCAUGUCGUGUUGGACCUCUGACCUAGGGGACUGGAGGGAGACCACCAACUUGAAAGACAAGAGAUUUCCAUGGCCCUCUGGCUCUCCAACUGGCCUCUACUGGCACAUAGGGACAGCCACUCCACUUGUCAUCCAAGCCACCAAUGGAAACGCUCAGCAGGACAGAGCUGGGGGCAACUUUGCCAGAACGCUUGGUCCCAACUUUCUAGAGUGUGGUUCUCCUCCAGAACGUGCCCUCUGGGUUGACACCCAUCCAGUCACUGCAUCCCCAUGAAGACAGUGGUUCAAACAGCCACCCUCCCACCCAACUGUACCAGCACGUGGAUAGAGUUCUCAGUCUCGUCCUGAAACACAAUCUCUUCUCCUACUGAUGUGCUCAUCCUGGAACUCAGCCAAGGAAGACAGUGGAUGGACUGACAUACUUGCUCCCAGAGGGUCAGGCUCCUUCCAGGAAGCACUUGGGGACAGAGAGUGCAGUGCAGUGGUUAGGGCCCAGGCCCUGCUGCUGGGCCCCCUCAGAGUGAGUUGGGCUGUGUGUUUUAAUCACUCACCAGGCAAGCUGUUUAACCUCUCUCUGCCCCACUAAACCUCACCUGCAGAGUUGAAGUAACCAUGGUACCCAUUUCAUAGGGUGGUCAUGAGGCUUGACAGAGCUUGGAAAACCCAAGUAUUAGAUAUUCUUUUUACUACUUGCUUCUCUAGAUAUGAGCCUUCCCUGGGGGCUCAAAUGGUAGUCUGCCUGCAAUGUAGGCGAUAUGGGUUCAUUCCCUGGG